GUCCGCAAAGUCAAGAAGAACUUCCAAUCUUGCAAACUCCAAAUGUCUGUACUGGCACAACAAACUCUACCAAUUCAGCAUUUGUUCCCGACAAAUGCCCCU